UACGUAGGGUGCAAGCGUUAAUCGGAAUUACUGGGCGUAAAGGGAGCGUAGGCGGAUAGUUUAGUCAGAGGUGAAAGCCCAGGGCUCAACCUUGGAAUUGCCUUUGAUACUGGCUAUCUUGAGUAUGGAAGAGGUAUGUGGAACUCCGAGUGUAGAGGUGAAAUUCGUAGAUAUUCGGAAGAACACCAGUGGCGAAGGCGACAUACUGGUCCAUUACUGACGCUGAGGCUCGAAAGCGUGGGGAGCAAACAGG
rnacentral:rRNA from 1 species